rnacentral:rRNA from 1 species
GCCUACGGGAGGCAGCAGUGAGGAAUAUUGGUCAAUGGUCGGGAGACUGAACCAGCCAAGCCGCGUGAGGGAGGAAGGUACAGAGUAUCGUAAACCUCUUUUGUCAGGGGACAAAGGCGGGGACGUGUCCCCGGAUGAGUGUACCUGAAGAAAAAGCAUCGGCUAACUCCGUGCCAGCAGCCGCGGUAAUACGGAGGAUGCGAGCGUUAUCCGGAUUUAUUGGGUUUAAAGGGUGCGCAGGCGGCCUGUUAAGUCAGCGGUCAAAGCCCGGGGCUCAACCCCGGCCCGCCGUUGAAACUGGCAGU